ACAUUUUUUUAUUUUUUAUAUGUUUGUUUGUGAAUGAUAUUAGUUUAUGAAUUUGAUUUUUGCACAGUGUAUCGACGUGUCAAAUGUUUCAAUUUCAUUUAUUACGUGCAGUUGUGUGUAAACAAAUAAAGAAGUUGAUUAAAUUAAUGCAGACGAAAAAAUAUUUAUUUUACUUUAAAUUAUUAUAAACAAAAUGGAUUUAAAAGGAUUUUUUGGCGACGUAGAUAUAGGAAAUAGUUUAAAUGUAGAUAAUGUGCUAAAUCUAAUAAAAAAUAAUGAGGAUGAAAUCGAACUAGAUCUGGAGAAUCUACUAAGCAAACAGUGUCAAAUAGAGUCAAAAAUGCGAGGUAUAACAAGAGCAAUGCUGAUGCUUAACGACGUAAGCAGGGAUUCUAAUAAAUUAGAUACUCAAAUUGUGAGGACAGCUCAACUGGCAGAAUCUGUAAGUGCAAAGGUUAGGCGACUGGAUCUCGCACGAAGCCGUGUUUCUGAGUGUCAGCAACGUGUGCACGAUCUUAUUGAUUUACAAUUGUGCAGUCAAGGUGUUAUGACUGCCAUUGCUGAUGAAGAUUUUGAAAUUGGUGCUGGUCAUAUUAAUCGAUUUUUGGCGAUGGAUUUACAACUACUUAAAAGAACUGCGGACGAUGUCCAGGGGUCGGUAAGUUCUGUCAGCGAAGCUAUAAGGACCCUGGAAACUGCUACUGUCGAAAUGCGCGAUUUGAUAGUGCGUAGAUUUAACGAGGCUGUAAAGAAGGAUGAUUUAGCAUCGGUGGAAAGAUUUUUUAAAAUAUUUCCUCUUCUUGGACGACAUGAGGAAGGUAUUGAAAAGUUCUCCAACUAUAUUUGUAUAAAAUUAUCGAUUAAAGCUCAGAAAGAACUGCGUAAUUCAAUGGACAUAGCAAAAGCUGAAAAACGUUUACAGUUGGCAUUUGCGGAUACAUUGACAUCGCUGUUGGAGAAUUUUGCACGAGUAAUCGAAGUCAAUCAGCCGAUAGUCGAGGCAUGCUAUGGCGCUGGUUAUUUGUUAGAUAUGCUACAAGUUCUACAACGUCAAUGUGAUACAGACGUAAAGAGCUUAUUACUUGAAUUCAAUAAAAAUCGCAAAAUCGGACUUAGAACGCAACAAGUUAAAGAGGGCUGUUCUCGAAGUACUAAUACUAAUACAACAUCGGCGGUAACUUUAGGCCAUUAUCGAAAACCAUCGGGAGGAUCUAUUGAUAAGCUUAAUCCCAAAGAUAUCGAUGCGAUUAUUGCAGAGAUAACAGUUAUGCAUUCAAGAGCAGAACUAUAUUUUCGAUUUAUGAAGAGGCGAGUAACGGCUGACAUUGAAUCUAGUUAUUUGGAUAAAACAUCACAGGAUGGUAAAUUGGAAAAAAUGAAUCAAGUUUUAAAUAAAUCUGAUUUAAGCAGACAAAUGCAGGAGUUGCUUGGAACUUAUCUCUUAUUUGAACGCUACUUUAUGGAGGAAAGUGUAAUUAAGGCUAUUGCCUUGGAUACUUACGAGAGCGGUCAAUUGUCUUCUUCAAUGGUUGACGAUGUAUUCUUUAUUCUAAGAAAGUCAAUAAGGCGCUCUUUGUCUAGUCAAUCUGUAAACGGAACAUGCGCUGUUAUAAACAAUGCUGCAACAUGUUUGGAUAGUGACUUUGUCAAUGCAUUGCGAGCGCCUUUAAAACAGGGUUAUCCCUCUGGUUAUAUUGAUUUGGCCCAAGCCUAUAAUGCUAUACAAAACACAUUGCAGCAGGGUAGAAUCCAAUCGAGUGACAUUGAGAAAUCCAGGGUACAUUUCUUAGUCCAACUAAACAAUGCCGACAUGUCAACAGAGUAUAUUGAAACUUUGUGGCAAACUAUGGAACAAGAGAUAAAAGGGGCCUUUCCAGCCAUAACAAAUGUAGAGAAACAACUAAUAGAUAGUUGUCUUGCAGAGCUUAAAACUGUUCGGGAUACUUUAAAAGCAUGUGUAGAUUUUGGCAUGCAGCAGUUGCGUUCAAGCGCAAUCAAACCACGACUACAUCCAUGGGUCGAUCAGUUUCUUAAUUAUAAACAUCAUUUUACAGAAGAUGAAUUGGCAUCAUACGAGGCUGGCGAAACGUUUGUUCAAUUUUUGAUUGUACAAAUUGAAGGCUUAUUAAAUACUUUUAAGCAAAUGUUAACUCCACGCAACACGGACGCUCUUAUUAGUAUUGUGGCAACAGAAUUGACAUUGCGUUUAGAAAGAGCGAUCAAGAAAUGUACAUUUAAUCGUUUGGGAGGCUUAGUACUAGAUCAGGAAGUGCGAGUUUUAGGUGCCUAUUUGGCCAGUGCAACCUCGUGGUCAAUUCGUGAUAAAAUGACCCGACUCACACAAAUUGCUACCAUCUUGAACCUUGAAAAGGUGUCUGAGCUAAAUGAUUACUGGAAUCCGGAUAACAGUUCAGAGUUGUCUUCGUGGCGUAUAACACCCAACGAAGUUCGGACAAUACUGACAUUACGAACCGAUUUCCGCAUGGAGGACAUAAAGCGAAUUAGAUUCUAAUAUUUAAAGAUAUUAAUGAACUAUAUAAACAUUUCGUUGUUAUUGCUAAAAUCUGAUUACAAUAUCAUAUCCAUAUGCUUUCUUGAUGCUAAACCAGUGGUUGAAAUCCAAUCGUAGUAAAAGCUGAGAUAAUGGUGUUGUACUUGGAGCCGUUUUUAAACCAACCAACAAAUUUAUAAGUUGUUGUAUUAAACUGCCA